GGCAGUAGUGGCUUAGCAGUUAUGGCUCUGGGUUACUGAACAGAAGGUCGGGGGUUCAAGCCCCAGCACUGCCA